AUGAUAGAGGCGCGAAAACUAAGAGUAAAUACAGUUUUCUCUGGCAAUCGAAUCGUAUUGAAAGGAGUUUUCGCCGAAGCUUUAAAGGCUUGCCAAUGCCUUUACUGCUGGCUGUAUGCAGAAUAUGUAUGCGGCUGUCACAUAGUAUUUGUGGAGUGCUAUCA
rnacentral:ncRNA from 1 species